rnacentral:rRNA from 1 species
CCCUUAGAUGUUCUGGGCCGCACGCGUGCUACACUGAGUGGAUCAGCGGGUCAGGUUGCGCGAAAGCGUUUCCUAAUCUUUAAAUCCGCUCGUGAUGGGGAUUGACGGUUGCAAUUUUCUGUCAUGAACGAGGAAUACCUUGUAAGCGCGGGUCAUCAUCCCGCGCUGAAUACGUCCCUGCCCUUUGUACACACCGCCCGUCGCUCCUACCGAUUGAAUGCUCAGGUGAGCCAUUCGUACCUUCAUCAUGCCGGUUUCCGGUUUUGAUGAGGGAAAGUCUUGCGAACCUUAUCAUUUAGAGGAAGGAGAAGUCGUAACA